GAUGAACGCUGGCGGCGUGCCUAAUACAUGCAAGUCGAGCGAACAGACGCGGAGCUUGCUCCUUUGACGUUAGCGGCGGACGGGUGAGUAACACGUGGGUCACCUACCUAUAAGACUGGGAUAACUUCGGGAAACCGGAGCUAAUACCGGAUAAUAUUUUGAACCGUAUGGUUCGAUAGUGAAAGAUGGCUUUGCUAUCACUUAUAGAGGGACCUGCGCCGUAUUAGCUAGUUGGUAAGGUAACGGCUUACCAAGGCAACGAUACGUAGCCGACCUGAGAGGGUGAUCGGCCACACUGGAACUGAGACACGGUCAAGACGCCUACGGGAGGCAGCAGUAGGGAAUCUUCCGCAAUGGGCGAAAGCCUGACGGAGCAACGCCGCGUGAGUGAUGAAGGUCUUCGGAUCGUAAAACUCUGUUAUUAGGGAAGAACAAACGUGUAAGUAACUGUGCACGUCUUGACGGUACCUAAUCAGAAAGCCACGGCUAACUACGUG
rnacentral:rRNA from 1 species